UACAGAGGGGGCAAGCGUUUGUUCGGAAUUACUGGGCGUAAAGGGCGCGUAGGCGGCCUGUUAAGUCGAACGUGAAAUCCCCGGGCUCAACCCGGGAACUGCGUCCGAUACUGGCAGGCUUGAAUCCGGGAGAGGGAUGCGGAAUUCCAGGUGUAGCGGUGAAAUGCGUAGAUAUCUGGAGGAACACCGGUGGCGAAGGCGGCAUCCUGGACCGGCAUUGACGCUGAGGCGCGAA
rnacentral:rRNA from 1 species